GUUUUAAUAGUUUAAUAAAAACAUUGGUCUUGUAAAUCAAAAAUAAGUUUACCUUUUAAAACU
rnacentral:tRNA from 1 species